GGUCGGUCGGUGGGUCGGUGGGUCGGUGGGUCGGUCGGUCGGUCGGUCGGUCGGUCGGUCGGUCCG
rnacentral:miRNA from 10 species